rnacentral:rRNA from 1 species
UGGCCGGUGAAGUGUUCGGAUCGCUCCGACGUGGGCGGUUCGCUGCCCGCGACGUAGCGAGAAGUCCACUGAACCUUAUCAUUUAGAGGAAGGAGAAGUCGUAACAAGGUUUCCGUAGGUGAACCUGCGGAAGGAUCAUUG